rnacentral:lncRNA from 1 species
CUGUUAAAGAACAUCUACUUCCGGCAGUUACCACCUGGAUAAUAUGUCCCUUUGGUCACCUCUGGUUCUAAUUCCACUGUCCCCAGAAUUCUUGUUCUUUUCUCUGUUUCUCUGUGUUUAUAGGGCCAAGGGAGAAAGAUGACAAGCUGACAAGCCCGGGCCACACAGCAGAAAAUAUAACAAAGUCAAACAGAGGACAUCCACUUUCUUAGAAGUCCCCUUACCUCCCAGCAGCUGAAGAUUCCUGCUGCCCACAGAACCCCCAGGCUUACCUCUCCCUCCCCAUUUCUUCCUCACUCCAUUCCUGAAAGAUUGCCUCUGGCUGUCUGCUUCAGGCAAUGCCCGGCGCAAGACCCAAGUUAGAAUUCUUAUCUUUUUUCAUUUUGUUCUUUUAGAAGAUCCUCCCUUCUGCAAAGGUUGCCACUUUUUUGAGACAAUAGGGAGAAUAUUGGUGACGUCAUUAUAAAUUAUUAAGAUAUGAUAUUUAUAUUUUGAAAUUGUAAGAAAAUUAGGCAGGGCAUGGUGGCUCAUUGCCUAUAAUCCCAGCACUUUUGGAGGCCAAGUUGGGAGGAUGGCUUGAGGCUAGGAGUUCGAGACCAGCCUGGCGAACAUGGCGAAAUCCUGUCUUUACGAAAAAAGAAAAAGAAAAAGAAAAAUUAGCUGGGUGUGGUGGUGCAUGUCUGUAUUCCCAGCUACUUGGGAGCCUGAGAUGGGAGGAUAGCUGGAGGCCGGGAGGUCAAGGCUGUAGUGAGCUAUGAUCACACCACUGCACGCCAGCCUGGGUGACAGAGCAACACCCCGUCACUGAAAGAAAAGAAAAAAUAAAUUGUAAGAAAAUUAAUACAUGAUAUGGAUACUACCUCCCCCCCCAAAAAAAACCUAGCUGUAAACAUAUGUGUGUAUGCAUGGUGCAUGGGAGAGGGGCAGAGUGUUGCCACCUUUCAAUUUUGCCGAGUUAGGACAUUAAACAAACUAACAAAGCCUCACUGUCUAACUAUUUUAUGAAAUAACAAACAUGAUUUUAUCGUUAAAAAGGAAAGCAGGGACACCCCAUCCUCUACAGCUUCAGAGGAGAAAGAAUGGAUUUUUAACGUUCUCACCACACAAAAAUGAUAAAUUGGUGAGGUAUUGGGUGUGUUAAUUAGCUUGACUCUCUAUAAUGUGUACAUAAAUCAAAACAUCAUGUUGUACUGCCUGAAUAAACAAAAUAAUUAUAAAUUUUAAAAAAAUCGUAGACUGGGCACAGUAGCUCAUGCCUGUAGACCCAGCACUUUGGGUGGCUGACGCGGGAGGACUGCUUGUGCCCAAGAGGUCAGGGCUGCAGUGAGCUGUGAUCACGCCACUGCCCUCCAGCCUGGAUUACAGAGUGAGACCCAGUCUCAAAAAUAAUAUAUAAUAAUAAAAAGGGCCGGGCGCCGGUGGCUCAUGCCUGUAAUCCCGGCACUUUGGGAGGCCAAGACAGGCAGAUCACCUGAGGUCAGGAGUUCGAGACCAUCCUGGCCAAUAUGGUGAAACCCCGUCUCUACUAAAAAUACAAAAAUUAGCCUGCUGUGGUGGCACACACCUGUAAUCCCACCUACUCAGGAGGUGGAGGCAAGAGAAUUGCUUGAACCCAGGAGGCAGAGGUUGCAGUGAGCCGAGAUGACACCACUGCACUCCAGCCUCGGCGACAGAGCGAGACUCUGUCUCAAUAAGUAGGAGAAGGAGAAGGGGAGGAAGGGGAGCAAGGGGAGGAAGAAGAAUGGCUGUGCAGAUGUCAAGCAGGAGAGUGAGAAGGAAGGAGACUUCCAGCUUUCCAGCAUCUGCUGAGGGGAUAAGGAAAUCAGCUUGGGAUACUGGUAGACUUUGGCAGACCUUUGGAAGGAGUUGGGAAUUUCUUCCCCGGGACAAACAAAAGAUGUUUAUGAUGGUGUUAAGGCCCAUCAGCACUUGUGCUCCAUCACUUCUUGGUGUAAGAAUUGGUGUGGCUGGCCGGGCGCAAUAUCCAUUGAACAGCAACUCCCCAUUUCCCCAUCCUCUCAGCCCCUGGCAACCACCAUCCUAGUGUUUUGUUUCUAUGAGUUUGACUACUCUGGAUACCCCAUAUAAGUGGAAUCAUGCCAUAGUCAUACAACAAGUGAUGAUGUUUCUGUCAAUGACAGACCACAUAUAUGACAGUUGUCCCAUAAGAUUAUAAUACAGUUGAAAAAUUCCUAUCAUCUGGCCAGAUUAUAGGCGUGAGCCACUGUGCCCAGCCCAACAUAAUUUAAAAAAAAAUUAAAAAAAAAUCUGACUCUCAUAUCACAGCAUUAAUUUUCUUAGCCUCUCAUUCCCAUUUAAGAACUUUUGUGAUUACCCUAGGCUCACACUUAUAAUUCAGAUAAGAUCAGGUGCAUUCAGGGUGGUAUGGCUGUAGACACCAAUCUCAUAAUUCAAAUUAAUCUCUUUGUUUUAGAGUCAUCUGAUUAUCAUCCUUGAUUUUAUCUACAGCCUCUAUUCUUUGUCAUAUACCAUAAUAUAUUCCUAGAACGUGGGGGUUAAGACAUGGGCACUUUUGUGGGGCAUCAUUUCAUUUAUCACAACUCCUAUUAAUUGUAUUUUAUUAAAAUAAUCCUGGCUCUGUCCAACUUUUGUUUCCAUCCCAGAGAACCCUUAUGUAAACUUUUUUAUCUUAGAAGAAAAUUGUGGCAGGGUGCGGUGGCUCACGCCUGUAAUCCCAACACUUUGGGAGGCCGAGGUGAGGAUCAUUUGAGGUCAGGAGAUCAAGACCAGCCUGGCCAACGUGGUGAAUCCCCGUCUCUAUUAAAAAUACAAAAAUUAGCCAGGCAUAUAUGGCCUUUAUUAUGCUUAGGUAAAUUCCAUCUAUACCUAGUUUAGAGUUUUUAUCAUGAAGUGGCAUUGAAUUUUUGUGAAAUACUCUUUCUGAAUCUUUUGAGAUGAUUGUUAUCCUUCAUUCUGUUAAUGUGGUAUAUCACAUUUAUUAAUUUAUGUAUGUUGACCCAUCCUUGCAUCUUAGGGAUUAAUCCCAUUUGGUCAUGAUGUAUGAUCCUUUUAAUGUGCUGUUGGAUUUUGUUUGUUAGUAUUUCGUGCAGGCUUUUUGCAUUUAUGUUCAUCAGGGAUAUUGGCUGUAGUGUUCUUGUAGUGUCUGACUUUGGCAUUAGGGUAAUGCUGGCCUUGUAAAAUGAAUUUGGCAAACACAGGCAACCAAAGCAAAAAUGGACAAAUGGGAUCACAUCAAGUUAAAAAACUUCUGCACAGCAAAGGAAACAAUCCACAAAGUGAAGAGACAACCCAAAGAAUGGGAGAAAAUAUUCGCAAACUACCCAUCUGACAAGGGACUAAUAACCAGAAUAUAUAAAGAGCUCAAACAACCCUAGAGGAAAAAAUCUAAUAAUCUGAUCAAAAAGUGGGCAAAAGAUCUCAAUAGACAUUUCUCAAAAGAAGACCUACAAAUGACAAGCAGGCAUAGGAAAAGGUGCUCAAUGUCACUGAUCAUCAGAGAAAUGCAAAUCAAAACUACAAUGAGAUACCAUCUCACCCCAGUUAAAAUGGCUUCUAUCCUGCCAGGCACGGUGGCUCAUGCCUGUAAUCCCAGCAAUUUGGGAGGUGGAGGUGAGCGGAUCACCUGAGGUUGGGAGUUUGAGAUCAGCCUGACCAACAUGGAGAAACCCCGUCUCUACCGAAAAUACAAAAUUAGCCGGGUGUGGUGGUGCAUGCCUGUAAUCCCAGCUACUGGGGAGGCUGAGGCAGGAGAAUCGUUGGAACCCGGGACGCGGAGGUUGUGGUGAGCUGAGAUCGCAUCAUUGUACUCCAGCCUGGGCAACAAGAUGGAAACUCAGUCUCAAAAAAAAAAAAAGGGGGGGCCGGGCGCGGUGGCUCACGCCUGUAAUCCCAGCACUUUGGGAGGCCUAGGCAGGCAGAUCACCUGAGAUCAGGAGUUUGAGACCAGCCUGGCCAACAUGGUAAAACCCCGUCUCUACUUAAAAAAACAAAAAUUAGCCAGGCGCGGUGGCGGGUCUGUAAUCCCAGCUACCCGGGAAGCUAAGGCAGGAGAAUUGCUUGAACCUGGGAGGUGGAGGUUGCAGGGAGCCGAGAUCAAGCCACUGCACUCCAGCCUGGGAGACAGAGUGAGACUGUCUCAAAAGUAAAUAAAUAAAUAAAUAUAAAUAAAAUUGUAAAAUAUGCAUUCACAAGUUAGUGUUACUGGAAAACUGCAUGUUAUGUAACAGUAUGUACAGAAGUGAAAAAGUACAACCAAAAUGAUAUAUCACCAAAAUUAAAAACACAAAAAUUUAAGAUAAAAACAAAAUGACACGUACAAGUAAACCGUUUUUUUUAAUUUAUGUAAAUAUAAACACGGACAUUUAGAAAUAUACACAUUGAAAGGACAGAGAUGAGAAAUUAUUCCUUGGGUGUUGGGUGUCUGUUUGCCAUUUAUUUCUAUAAUGUAGUUCCCUCUUUUCUGAAAAACUUGCAACCAACGUGGAUGACUUUUCCAAAGAGAAGAGGGACCCAGCAUGGUGGCUCAUGCCUGUAAUCCCAGCACUUGGGAGGUCGAGGCAGGUGGAUCAUCUGAGGUCAGGAGUUCGAGACCAACCUGGCCAACAUGGCAAAACCCCUAUCUCUAUUAAAAAUACAAAAUUAGGUGAGUGUGGUAGCAGGCACUUGUAAUCCCAGCUACUUAGCAGGCUGAGGCAGGAGAAUUGCUUGAAUCCCGGAGGCGGAGGUUGCAAUGGGCCAGGAUCGCGCCACUGCACUCCAGCCUGGGUGAGAGAGUGAGACUCCGUCUCAAAAAACAAACAAACAAAAAAACACAGAAGAGAAAACACUCUCUGAAAUGGAAGUAAAGGGACUAGAAAACAAUGGGAAGCUAUUUAGUAGUAGGGGAAAGGGCUAUUUUCCAAUGGCGAGUGACAAAACCACAAGGCAAAACUGUCCCUCCCCCUCCAACUGGAGUCCAUACAGGGACGCAUGCACACGGGCACACGUGUGUCCCUCUGUGAGCGUUGUAUGGUGCACACUGAUAGACUGAUGGGGACCCUCUGACCAUUCCUGUGAGGACUUGAGCCAAAAAGCUACUUCUCUCUUGGCACACCUGGCCUAGCCCAGUGUGCUUUUGAAACUCUAGGAACCAUUGGAGUCCACUGGAGGGCUUCUGAAAACACCAACUGCUGGGCCCCAGGCCCACAGCUUCUGAUUCAGUGGGUCAUGGGUGGGGCCUGGGAGUAUGCAUUUUUAAUAGAUUCCCAGCGAGGCAGCUGCUGCCUGCCAGGGAACCCCACUUUGGGAACCACUGGACUAGUGUCUGGGUCAGCGAAUAGAGGAGGCCACCCGGAGGCCAGAAGGUGCCUGAGGCCCUGGGCUUCAUGGCUGGUGGCUGGAGAUGCCCUCCUCCAGGCCUGGAGCUUCCUCAACCUGACAACUUGCCAAUAAGGGAAAUGGGCGCGAUCUAACGUGCCGCGAACUAGUGCAGACUCACAGCCUAGGUCGAGUAGGAAUGGAAUUCUAGAAAUGAUAUAUGCCAAGAGUUUGCAGUGUAGACCUCAGAAUCAUCUCAGAUUCAAAGAGGAAACCAAACGACUGCAGCAGCAGCAGCAGCAGCAGCAGCAGCAGCAGCAGGGAACAGGUUGGCUACAGAGCCAGUGGUCACACCCGGCUUUCUGCAGCCUUUCUGGCUCCGCAGCAUUUUUUUCAGAGCUUAAGGGCGGGAGGAGAUGCUGUAUAUUUAGGGGUGGAGUGAGGAAUAGCGGAGCAUUCCGGCAUUUCUGGAGUAACACUGCCCCCAAGAGCAAUCUGUGAUAAAGCCUCAAGCUAUGUGGACAAACAACAUGAAAGGCGAGGUAAUGAAAAAAAGAUCCAGAAAGAUCCAGCAGCCAACUUGACGAUCCUCGCUGAUUGAAGAUUAAAGCACUAUGAGCGCAGCUAGGUUCAAAUAGCGGUUCUGCCACUUACUCACUUUGUGACCCUGGGCAAAUUAGUCAACUUCCCUGUGCCUCAGUUUCCCCUACUUGUACUUCAUGGGGGAUUAAUGAACUAAUAUAUGGAAAGUAUUCAAAGCAUUUCUGCUGACUACAGAAACUCUUUACAAUUCUCCCAGAAAUAAUCCAGGUCAUCAUGCAUUUGCCCACAUUCCAUCUUUGUCAGGAAUUGUAGGCCAAAAUGUUCUUUUUUUAUUUUAAUUUAAUUUUAAUUUUUUUUUGAGAUGGAGUCUCCCUCUGUCUCCCAGGCUGGAGUGCAGUGGCGUGAUCCGGGCUCACUGCAACCUCCACCUCCCAGGUUCAAGGAAUUUUCCUGCCUUAGCCUCCCGAGUAGCUGGGAUUACAGACGCCCGCCAACAUGCCUGGCUAGUUUUUAUGUUUUUUUAGUAGAGACGGGGUUUUGCCGUGUUGCCCAGGCUGGUCUCCAACUUCUGACUUCAGGUGAUCCGCCUGCCUCGGCCUCCCAAAGUACUGGGAUUGUAGAUGUGAGCCACUGCAACCGGCCCAAAA